rnacentral:rRNA from 1 species
AUUGAACGCUGGCGGCAGGCCUAACACAUGCAAGUCGAGCGGAUGAAGGGAGCUUGCUCCUGGAUUCAGCGGCGGACGGGUGAGUAAUGCCUAGGAAUCUGCCUGGUAGUGGGGGAUAACGUCCGGAAACGGGCGCUAAUACCGCAUACGUCCUGAGGGAGAAAGUGGGGGAUCUUCGGACCUCACGCUAUCAGAUGAGCCUAGGUCGGAUUAGCUAGUUGGCGGGGUAAAGGCCUACCAAGGCGACGAUCCGUAACUGGUCUGAGAGGAUGAUCAGUCACACUGGAACUGAGACACGGUCCAGACUCCGACGGGAGGCAGCAGUGGGGAAUAUUGGACAAUGGGCGAAAGCCUGAUCCAGCCAUGCCGCGUGUGUGAAGAAGGUCUUCGGAUUGUAAAGCACUUUAAGUUGGGAGGAAGGGCAGUAAGUUAAUACCUUGCUGUUUUGACGUUACCAACAGAAUAAGCACCGGCUAACUUCGUG